UACGUAGGGACCGAGCGUUGUCCGGAAUCAUUGGGCGUAAAGAGCGUGUAGGCGGCUCGCUAAGUCUUGCGUGAAAUCUCGGGGCUCAACCCCGAGCGGUCGUGAGAAACUGGCGGGCUAGAGUGCGGGAGAGGAGAGUGGAAUUCCUGGUGUAGCGGUGAAAUGCGCAGAUAUCAGGAAGAACACCCGUGGCGAAAGCGGCUCUCUGGAACGGUACUGACGCUGAGACGCGAAAGCGUGGGGAGCGAACAGG
rnacentral:rRNA from 1 species